GAACUGCAUAUUUUCUGUAUUUGCAUGGCACUCCUUUAUACCACAAUGAUGGCUUUUCCAAGAUUAUAAAUAUGAAACAUGUAAACAGGCACAGUUACUUGUCAUCACAAGGAUCAGAAUUCAAGUACCAGAGUAGUCCUAACUCCUAAAUCAUCCCAAUUUGUCAAAAGUACAUAAAGCUUUCGCUGAUGGACACAAAUUGUUCAGAAAAAAUCCAGUUACCACACUAAUCAGCCAUAGAUUUCUGACGUGCUUUCAGAAGGAACAUAGAUGCAAUGGUAGGUAAAUUUUGCUUUUAAAUUCCCUUGCAACAGAUACAAAUUGCAUCAUCAGAUCUGGUUCAAUGAAACACAGACAAUAUUAUCUCAAGG